ACCAGGCUCAGUGGUGGUGCCUGUAAUCCCAGUUAGCAUGGAGGCUGAGGUGGAAGGAUUGCUUGAGCCCAGGAGUUCUGGGCUAUAGUGUGCUAUGCUGCUCAGGUGUUUGCAUUAAGUCCUGGGUGUGGGGGACCACCGGGUUGCCUAAGGAGGAGUGAACCGGCCCACACUGAAAACAGAGCAGGUUCAACUCCAGUGCUGACCAGUAGUAGGACUGUACUUGUGAACCACUGUACUCCAGCCUGGACAACACAGCAAGACUGCAUUUAA
rnacentral:SRP_RNA from 1 species